AAAAAAAAAAAAAGACUCGCUGAUGCCAAAAAAUAGGCAAUUAUCUGUAUGUGCUCAAUGCCAUGCCGAGAAAAAUACACACGUCUGAGAGUUCUUUUUUUCUUUUUUUUUUCCUUUAUGCAUGAUGGGUCAUAAUUAUACAAAAUUUGGU
rnacentral:ribozyme from 1 species